UACGUAGGCAGCGAGCGUUGUUCGGAAUUACUGGGCUUAAAGAGUCCGUAGGCGGCGCAGAAAGUAGGGUGUGAAAGCCCUCGGCUCAACCGAGGAAUUGCGCUCUAAACUACUGUGCUUGAGGAACCUAGAGGUGAGCGGAACUGAUGGUGGAGCGGUGAAAUGCGUUGAUAUCAUCAGGAACACCGGAGGCGAAGGCGGCUCACUGGGGGUUAUCUGACGCUGAGGGACGAAAGCCAGGGGAGCGAACGGG
rnacentral:rRNA from 1 species